CCUACGGGAGGCAGCAGUAGGGAAUCUUCCACAAUGGGCGAAAGCCUGAUGGAGCAACGCCGCGUGGGUGAAGAAGGUCUUCGGAUCGUAAAACCCUGUUGUUAGAGAAGAAAGUGCGUGAGAGUAACUGUUCACGUUUCGACGGUAUCUAACCAGAAAGCCACGGCUAACUACGUGCCAGCAGCCGCGGUAAUACGUAGGUGGCAAGCGUUAUCCGGAUUUAUGGGGCGUAAAGGGAACGCAGGCGGUCUUUUAAGUCUGAUGUGAAAGCCUUCGGCUUAACCGGAGUAGUGCAUUGGAAACUGGGAGACUUGAGUGCGGAAGAGGAGAGUGGAACUCCAUGUGUAGCGGUGAAAUGCGUAGAUAUAUGGAAGAACACCAGUGGCGAAAGCGGCUCUCUGGUCUGUAACUGACGCUGAGGUUCGAAAGCGUGGGUAGCAAACAGGAUUAGAUACCCGUGUAGUC
rnacentral:rRNA from 1 species